rnacentral:lncRNA from 1 species
GCACAAGUUGUGGGAUGGCCACCGGUACGAUCUUUCCGGAAGAACGUCAUGUCAGGCCCAAAGCCAACCACCGGAGAUGCCUUCCAAGCAACUGAAAAGACUUCCGGCAGCAACGGAGCCACCUCCUCUGCCUCCAUUGGUGCUACCGCAGCUUACGUGAAGGUUAGCAUGGACGGUGCACCGUACCUAAGAAAAAUUGAUUUGAAACUCUACAAAACUUACCAAGAUCUCUCGGAUGCAUUAAGCAAAAUGUUCAGCUCUUUUACCAUAGGUAAUCCCUUCGUAGUUUUCAACACAUUUCACAUCCUUCUCUCUCUCUUGAAACGUUUUAGUUACAAAACGAACACAUCAAAAGAACUAAAAAAGCCCUAGCAACAGGACAAUCUUUUGAUCUCUUACUCGUUUUCUGAUUACCUAAUUUAUUACUCGUUACUAAACAUUUAUCAAGCAAGAUGAUUAAUUUUGAGGCAACGGAGCUGAGGUUAGGGCUGCCGGGUGAGAAUCACGGAGGAGGCAUGGCUGCGAAAAACAACGGCAAAAGAGGAUUCUCUGAGACCGUUGAUCUCAAAUUGAAUCUUUCUUCUACGGCUAUGGAUUCAGUUUCUGAACUUGAUUUAGUGAAUAUGAAGGAGAAGGUCGUAAAACCACCGGCCAAGUAAGAAACUAAAUUUCUGUCCCUAUUUCUAUUAAUAUUUACUUUAUAUAUAUUGUCAACUCUUUACUUAUAAGUAGAUGUCUUAAAUGUAUUGAGAUAUUAUAUAAUAUUUGUGGAUAGACUCGAUAAAAUUAGAUUAUGCGAUCCGGUCAUGGUUUGGCUUAUAGGCUUUAACACGUUGAAUGAAUAAGUUAACUAGAGUAACAUUAUGCAAAAAAAUCUCAUAAGGUUUGGGAUUUUUCAUUUGUUUCCUUUAGUUUUGCUCCAUGUUUUCAAUUAGCUUUACGAAGAUUAUUUACAUUUUUUAUUUAUAAAUAACCUUACGUAGCUAGGAUGAUGAGUGCAUGUUUAGGUUUUUGGUCGGGAAGAAUUAAGAAAAAUACAAAACAUAAGGAAUCUUUACUUUAUAUAUUGGAGAAAAAGAUAAAAAUUAAAUUAAUAUUUGGACAAUUACAGCCACCCAACGUCCAAGACGUCUGAAGCAACUAGAUGAUUCACAAAUCUUGAUAUAAAAUACAUUGAAUAAUAUGUUUGAAAUUAACAAUUUAGUAUAUUUACGGAAUUUCAGGGCACAAGUUGUGGGAUGGCCACCGGUACGAUCUUUCCGGAAGAACGUCAUGUCAGGCCCAAAGCCAACCACCGGAGAUGCCUUCCAAGCAACUGAAAAGACUUCCGGCAGCAACGGAGCCACCUCCUCUGCCUCCAUUGGUGCUACCGCAGCUUACGUGAAGGUUAGCAUGGACGGUGCACCGUACCUAAGAAAAAUUGAUUUGAAACUCUACAAAACUUACCAAGAUCUCUCGGAUGCAUUAAGCAAAAUGUUCAGCUCUUUUACCAU